CUCUGCAACAGAGUGUCGACGGUCUUUCAUACCUAAAACUCGUUUGGAACUUGAGGACCUCCUUGAAGAUGGAAUGCUAAACGACUGACAGGAAGGACCUUAGCACCUUCCCUCUGCAAGAACAACCCACUGCGGCGUCAUCACGAAUUCCACACAUCAUUUGUAAUAAAUAUUGGCAAGUACAUAAAAUAAUUCCAAAUAAAUCAUUAUGUCCUUAAAGCGAGGUUUCAAUUUCAGGUUCACACGUAUAGCAGUAGAAAUGUUAUUUCGGUGACCAUAAGACAUCUUUCUCUAUUUCCAUUUCAGGACUCUUGAACUUGAAGCUACUCGCUAGAAGAAUCAAUCGUUUCUACAAACGCAUUCACGCAACAACAUUUGAAUGAAUGUUAGCGGUAUGGUUUGAGCGUAAACCCCAACAAGCAUUAAUGUUAGACCAAUGCAAAACAAUCACGAAAAGAAAAAAGGCUAACCCGAAAACCAAAAUAAAGAGUGUGUUACUAUCGAUCUUUCUGUAAGGAGUACCGGUUGGUAGAAACCACCAACUAAAAGCUUUUACAAGGAUCAAAGAUAGAGUUAUAACCAAAAGUAAAAGAGCACAAAGUUGGGUGACAUUCUGAGCAUCUUCAGCCGCAAUUGAGCAAAGAUCUCCUCGAUUUCCGUUGCUGCUCUCGUCCAUUUUACUUUUCUUGCCACAGGUAUUUUGCUGGACAAUUAAUGGACUAUCUCCUAAAUCGUUAAUGUACAACUAUAAUUUUCCGCAUCCGUAUAAGAUGGUACGAUGUUUAAUACUAACCUUACUUUUCGUUUAGUGAAGUGGGGCAGUUGAGGCUAUUUAUUCAGUGGUACUCUUCGGUUACUUUGUCUGGUGUAAAGACCGUCUUCUUCCGGACUGUUGUGCAACACGAUGCGUUACUGAGUUUUAUAUAUGCUCCGGAUCUAAAUGUAUGUAGCACCCAAGCCAGCUACACCUGCGCCUUUUACUAAAAGCAAAAAUCUCUUUGCCAACGGCUGCUCUGCAUCAACAGAUUAAUGUGAUUUUCAACAUUUGGUUCCUUUUCUGAUUCCGAUGAGCUGUCAGCCCCCUUAUAUGCAUUCCUUUUCCCAUCUUCCAAAUCCAUCCAAGCUUCCAGUAAUUAUGCAGUUUAUAUAAUAAGCUUCAGUGUGAAUGCCUGGGCGCACGAACAACUACAUCCAUUUGUUUGAAACUUGACAAUUAAGAGAUAAAAACCCGUUCUCUCAA